AACGGGUCAGAAAUUACAAACCUGAACCUGACUUGUUUAUUAAACAGGUAACCCGACCCGACCCGUUUAACCUGUUUAAUAAACAGGUAACCUGUUUAUCCAACCCGACCCGACCUGUUUAACCUGUUUGCCCAACCUGACCCGUUUAACCUGUUUAGACCUGUUUAAUCUGUCCAACCCAACCUGUUUAACCUGCCCAACCCGACCUGUUUAGACCUGUUUAGACCCGUUUAACCUGUUUAGACCUGUUUAACUCGUUUAACCUGUUUAACCCGUUUAACCUGUUUAGACCUAUUUAACCUGCCCAACAGUUAAACGGGUUAAACGGUUUAAACGGGUCAGACAUCUAAAAUCCGUAUCCGAUCCAAUUAAUAAACAGGUUAAACGGGUCGACCUGUUUACGACCCGAAUCUAUUUAGGCCAAACCCAAACCUGUUUAUGGCGGGUCGAACACGGGUCGGGUUGGCGGGUCGGGUCAUAUUUUGCCACCCCUAGGUUUGCUACAUCACAUGUAAACCUAUCUACCCGACUCUCAUUCACAUCACAUGCAAACGGCACAUUGCAGGCAGUUAUAAUCGCAGCAAUAAUUAAAGCUAAACUUUAAAUAGGUGAUGAUCAUGGAUUCUAAUUAGGUCAUAUUACAAGCACAUGCACGUCAAUCGAUCAACUUGUCUUCAACUCUUGAAUUGAUUUCAAGCCUCCUUGACUCGAUCCUUGACCAACUCUUGAUCCAAUCGACAUCAACCGCUUAGACCCCUGCUCAUCUCAUGCAUCAUCUUUGACUUUAUCGUUGACGUACAUCACAUCACAGAAAUACAACCAGAUAUAAAAUAAAAAUAAAAAUAAAUUACAU
rnacentral:lncRNA from 1 species